UUUUAUGAGAGUUUGAUCCUGGCUCAGGACGAACGCUGGCGGCGUGCCUAAUACAUGCAAGUCGUACGCUUCUUUUUCCACCGGAGCUUGCUCCACCGGAAAAAGAGGAGUGGCGAACGGGUGAGUAACACGUGGGUAACCUGCCCAUCAGAAGGGGAUAACACUUGGAAACAGGUGCUAAUACCGUAUAACAAUCGAAACCGCAUGGUUUUGAUUUGAAAGGCGCUUUCGGGUGUCACUGAUGGAUGGACCCGCGGUGCAUUAGCUAGUUGGUGAGGUAACGGCUCACCAAGGCCACGAUGCAUAGCCGACCUGAGAGGGUGAUCGGCCACAUUGGGACUGAGACACGGCCCAAACUCCUACGGGAGGCAGCAGUAGGGAAUCUUCGGCAAUGGACGAAAGUCUGACCGAGCAACGCCGCGUGAGUGAAGAAGGUUUUCGGAUCGUAAAACU
rnacentral:rRNA from 1 species